rnacentral:rRNA from 1 species
UACGUAGGGUGCGAGCGUUGUCCGGAAUUAUUGGGCGUAAAGGGCUCGUAGGCGGUUUGUCGCGUCGGGAGUGAAAACAUCCAGCUUAACUGGGUGCUUGCUUUCGAUACGGGCAGACUAGAGGUAUGCAGGGGAGAACGGAAUUCCUGGUGUAGCGGUGAAAUGCGCAGAUAUCAGGAGGAACACCGGUGGCGAAGGCGGUUCUCUGGGCAUGACCUGACGCUGAGGAGCGAAAGCCAGGGGAGCAAACGGG